GGGAGUUGAAGUCCACCAGCCUUAAAAGUUGCCAAGUUGGAAAACUCCUUGGUCUAGAGCCCAAGCCAAGAUUCUUCAGGUCUUUGGGACUACAAGUCAGGG